rnacentral:rRNA from 3 species
CAAAUCUUAGCGGUGGAUCACUCGGUUCGUGGAUCGAUGAAGAACGCAGCUAGCUGCGAUAAAUAGUGCGAAUUGCAGACACAUUGAGCACUAAAAAUUCGAACGCACAUUGCGCCAUCGGGUUCAUUCCCGUUGGCACGUCUGGCUGAGGGUUGAAUU